CAUAGAGGGAGGUGGACCAUUUAGUCCAGGGCCCCAUACUGGUUAACCAGUUCUGUUACUGACAAAGCUGGUCCCCUAUAAGAUGGAGUCUUUCCCUGUUCAGUGUCAUGAAACCAAAUAUAGGAAACCGAAAGUGAGUUUCAAGCAGUGCAGACUUUUUUUAAUGGCCAUGGAAUUGAGAAGUGGGAGCAUGGCUCAUGAGUGAACUGCUUGACUAGCAAAGGCAAUGUUCUUUUAUUGAUGAAGCUGUCAGAAGAGAGAAAAAUCCGAGGGUGAAAAGAUAAAGGAAAAGAGAAAAUAAGAAUAGAAAAUGGCUGACAGAUGAGAAGAAAUGGCUUGAAAUACCUGUUGGAAAUUUCUAUCUGAUGACACAAACACUCCAUUACCACGGCUUCAUAAAUUCACAUCGUAAUCUC